GCUUCCAUAGCUCAGCAGGUAGAGCACUUCCAUGGUAAGGAAGAGGUUUUAUCGUUCGAGCAGAACCUUGGAAUGGCAAUGGUUUAAGCCAUUUUUGGGGAAGCA
rnacentral:tRNA from 1 species